rnacentral:lncRNA from 1 species
CAUGUCUACCCUAUUAAGUUUGCGUGAAGAUCACAUGUCAUAAUAUGUAUGCAAAGUAUUUUGCUUUUGCUAAGUGUUUAAUAAUAAAAAGAACUAAGCCUUGCAUUAAUAAAAAGAACUAAGCAAGCAUUGUUUUAAAUGUUUUACAUUUAUUAACUCAUUUGUUCCUCACAACAACACAAUGAACUAGGCACCAUUCUCCCCCAUUUUGCAGAUGAGGACACUAAGGCACAGAAGGGUUAAUUAUCUUUUCAAGGACACAGAGCUGGCAAGAGGUAAGCAUCUGGAUGACAUCAGGGUGCCUGGCUUCUGCAUUCACCACUUUGCUGUGCCCCUUUUCAGUAUCUGUGUAUUGUUCUCUCCUUAUUGUUAGGAAGAGCAUAGUGUAAUGGGAAGAGUCAUGAAACCUGAAAUUUUCCUGUAGAUUAUCAGCAGCUCUUUACUUAUGGGCAAGUCACUUAUUCUCUGUAGGCUUUAAUUCAGUAUUCUUUAUCCAUAAAACCAAAGACUUCUGAGACCGACAACCUCUUUUUGUCUUCCCAGGAUGCUUUUCCUUAGAGAAUUGCCCCUCCCCCAAACUGUCCCAGAGGCACUGUCAGUCACAUGGCCACCAGCUUCCCUACUGCAGGCCUGCAGAGUUUUCCAUAUCCCCAUGCAAGGUGGAGAGCAUCUGCUUAAGACUAAAUCCAACACAAAGAAAGAAGAGCUGUGAAAUUGUGGUUUGGAGAGGGAAUGAGAGAAAAAUGACAAGAAUGGGCAUAAUUAUUUUGGUACCUGAAUUCAGCUACAUCUGGCCAGCCUGCCUCCAUACUUUUCAGUUUUGUUAUUCAAUAAAAUACUUUUCCCCCCUAAUACUAGUUUGAGUUGGCUGUCACUUACCAGAGGAAUAGUUUGUAUUCACACAGAUUUAAAAUGAUGAUCUUUCUACUAACCAUAACAAUCUUUAACCAUAAUUUUUUUUUCAAUUUUUUAAUGUUUUAUUUUAUUAUUAAGAGACAGAUAGAGACAGAGCAUGAGCAUGGGAGGGGCAGGGAGGGACAGAGACACAGAAUCUGAAGCAGGCUCUAGACUCAGCUGUUAGCACAGAGCCUGACACGGGGCUCAAACUCACAAACUGCGAGAUCAUGACCUGGGCUGAAGUCGGACGCUUAACCGACUGAGCCACCUAGGCG